rnacentral:rRNA from 1 species
UACAGAGGUGCCCAAGCGUUGUUCGGAUUCAUUGGGCGUAAAGGGGUGCGUAGGCGGCGCGGUAAGUCGGGAUGGUGAAAAUCUCGGAGCUUAACUCCGAAACUGCAAUUCGAUACUGCCGUGCUUGAGGAGCUGGGAAGAGGAGACUGGAAUUUACGGUGUAGCGGUGAAAUGCGUAGAUAAUCGUAAGGAAGACCAGG